UGUGAGCACUGAGCACCUGCGGUCUUGUGAGCACUGUGCACCUGCGGUCUUGUGAGCACUGUGCACCUGCGCUCCUGUCUGGCCUCGUUCUCUCUUGAACUGAGAAUUCGCCAGCAUGGCGAGGAGACCGCCUCCUGCCGUGGGCCCCGCGGGCGCCCAUGGAAGGUCCGCAGCCUCCUGUGUCCCUUCCUGUGUGCACGGGGGGAGGCAGGGUUAGAUGUGAGUCGUCUGUAAGCACUGGAGAGGACCUCCAGUUGUCGGCACCCUUCAGAAUAUGCACUGUGUGUAUAUUCCUUCUAAAUCUAUUUGUUUUAUGUUGCGGGUGUAUCUGCACCCCACCUGUGUGCCUGCUGCUCAUGGAGGCCACAGAAGCCAUCGGUCUGGAACUAGAGUCACAGGCAGUUGUAAGCCAACACGUGCUGGACAUCUGCUGGCGUCACAACAGCAGCCGGUGCUGCUUUUAGCUGCUGAGCCAUCUCUGAUGGGGACGGUGCUUCUGUGUAUGUUCAUCUUACUGAUUGUUGACUAAAGUACUGUUGGCCAAUGAGGCAGCAAGUUAGGUGGAACUAGGAGUCAAGCAGGAUUCUGGGAAAUGUAGUAGAGAAGUGGUGAUCCAGGCAGGAAGUGACAUGGCAGGGAGACUCCUAUAUAAACAAGGGCAAGAAGGAGGUGGGCCCCUUCGCUCUUCCUCCAGAGUCACCAUGUGAGCCCGAGAUAAGGACGCCAAUGGAAGGCAUCAGAUAAGCCUUAUAAAAUAUAUGGAUUUAUGAUAAUUAAGACUGAGCUAACAGAUGAGAAUCCUAGUAAUUGGCCAAGCAACCUUUGUACCUAAUAGAAGUCUCUGUGUGUUACCUGGGGCCCUAACACAGCGAGCAGAACUCAGGCAGGUGGUGAGAAGAUUUAUCGUAACAUCUCUAUAGCCCUUACAUUUGUCACUGUUGUGAUGAAAUUCAGGACAAGAAGUCACUCGAGGAAGGAGGGCUUUAUUGUGGCUCACAGUUUUGAGGGUGCAGUCCAUCCUGGAAUGGAAGUCAUGGCGGCAGGAGCGGGAGGCAGCAGGUCACAUCACAUCCACAGUCCGGAAGCAGAGAAGAGGGUGCUGGCACUUACCUGCUUCUCCUUUUAUUCCGUCCAGAAACCAGCCCGUGUAAUAUAUUAUGUCAACUACACACGCUCAAGGGGAAUCUUCUCACCUCUGUUAGGCUAGAAAGUCCCUCAGACUUGCUCAGAAGUUCAUCUCCAAGGCAGUAGGACAGGAAACGUCCAUCGGUUUACACCAAGGCCCAUCCCUUCCCUACCGGUGAGUCUUUUCUCCUUGGGAUGGUUAAUCUGGUUGUCAACUUGACUGGAUCUGGAUCUGGAACCAAGUAAGAGAAAGGCCACAGGAG
rnacentral:lncRNA from 1 species